rnacentral:antisense_RNA from 1 species
GGCCCAAGUUACCCACAUUUCUGCCCAGCUGACUACAACUUCUGGUUUCCAUGACCCCCUCUCAGGUUUGAUAGUUUGCUAGAACAACUCACAAAGUGAAGGAAAAUGGUGUACUUACUAUUACUGGCUUAUUAUAAAAGCUACAACUCAGAAACAGCCAAAAGGAGGAGAUGCACAGAGCAAGGUGACCAGUCCGCAUCCUGAUACUGUCUCGGAGUCCCCCAGCCAAGAAUCAUCUCAUCAGCAUAAACUCAGGCAAUGCUGAAAGGCAUUCAGAAUGGUACUGGCCAUGUAACAUCCUCAGGAAAAUGGAGAAAGGAGUUUUUGGAGACUGCUAUGUAAGCCAGAAUACUAGUCACACAGUGCAGGUGGGAGCGGCGGGGAAGUAACCUCCUUUUUUUUUAGACUAAUACAUUUAUGGUAUACAUCUGAA